GAGACUUUUGGGAAUAGGAAUUUAGGAGAAAUUUGGGGAUUUUUUAGGGGGGGAUUUUUGGGAAUGGGAUUUUUUUGGAGAAUUUGGGAUUUUUUGGGGGGGAUUUUUGGGAAUGGGAAUUUUUUGGGAAUUUGGGGAAUUUUGGGGGGAUUUUUGGGAAUUCUGGGGUUUUUUUGGGAAUUCUGGGAUUUGUGGGAUUUCCCUGAGUUGUUCCCAAUCCCGGGGGGGGCUCAGAGCAGAACUCCCCCAAAAAAAUCCUCGUACCGGGGGGUGGGAGGGGACAUUGGGGACAUCAUGGGGACAUUGGGACAUUGGGGACAUCAUGGGGACACUGGGGACAUCAUGGGGACAUUGGGGACACUGGGAACAUUGGGGACACUGGGGACAGCUUUGGGGACAUUGGGGACAUCAUGGGGACACUGGGGACAGCUUUGGGGACAUUGGGGACAGCUUUGGGGACAUCACUGGGGACUUUGUGGGGGGACGCUGGGAUUGUCCCUGACCCUGAGGUGGCACUUUGGGGUGUCCCAAGGUCCCCAUGGGGUGACACAGGCGGUCCUGGUGGCACUUGGGGACAGUGACACGGGUGGCCCUGCGCUCCGAGAUGUGGCGCCGCACGCGGCCCGGCGGCGGCUCCGGGGCCAGCGAGGGGCUCGAGUGGCACUUGGUGAGCGGCGCGGGCGCGGGGGGACACCCGGUGACAUCCCCGGGGGGACACCCGGUGACAUCCCCGGGGGGACACCCGGCCACGUCCCCG
rnacentral:lncRNA from 1 species